CUCCUGAGUAGCUGUGAUUAUAGGCUUGUGCCAUCACGCCCAGAAAGAGCGAGAGAGUAAUUCUAGCCUAUUUUUACAAGAACACAGUGGCUAUGGACGAGACAGAUAGAUUAAGAAGUGUUUCAGGCUGCAGCCAGCUGGGACCACUCAGCGGCCUUCAGAUGGAGGAAAGGAGCCACAAGCUAAGAAAUGCAGAAAUUGGAAAAGAAAAAGGCAAAAAACCAGAUUCUCCCCCAGAGACUCCACCAGAAGGAAUGCAGUCCUGCCAACACCUUGAUUUUAGCUCCACGAGACCCAAUUCAAACUUCUGACCUCCAGAGCUACAAGCUAAGAAACCACAAGCUCAUCAUGUGAAGAGGAAGAGUUUGGCAGCUCAUCUUAAAUUGUAAUUAUCUUCUUUGCAUGAAUCCUGGAGAAAAGGUCUUCGUAUCAGUUUAUUUUUAUAAAACCGUCUGGUUCUGCUGAUGGCAAGACAUCACUUGGAUGAGCUACACAGAAGCUAAGGAACUGUCAGGUUCUAGGUGUAGCCUUAAGAGGCCUGGCAGUUUCUCCUUUUGCCCUCCAGAAGCCAGCUACUAUGCUAUAAAGAACUUUGGGCUGGACUACUGAAUGAAGAGAGGUCACCUGGAGAAGGCCUAGAAGAUGAGAAGUGAUUUUAUAUAUUCCAGCCGCAACUGAAUGGAACGUCUGUGGUGGGUUUCCUGGCCCUUUCUCACUAUUGCAUUCCUGGUGGGGGUGAGGGGGUUAGAGGUAUCUGGGGAGGAUCAGAAAACAGUUUACAGGUCUUUAGAUCCAGGAAAGCUGUACCAGAGGAGCUACAUCCACAUCUGGACAUAAACCUGAUCAUGAAUACUGGGCCUGAUGCUUUAAUAGGAUAAGACUUUGCAGUGUGUUGGGAGGGGUUGAAAGAACGUAAAUAAUUUAUUGCCAGAGGGCAGACUGUAGUUGACUAAAGAUGGCCAUGGUUUUAUUGCCACUUCUCUGAGUGAGAGACAGAGUCUAUUUGCCCUCACCCCCACCCCCCCAUGAACUCUGGACUGGCCUUGUGACUUGCUUGGACAAACAGAAGGCAACAAAGUUGCUGUGUGACUUUCAGGCAGUAGUGUUCUGGAAAACCAGCUCUAUAAAAAAAUUUGUUAAAGCCCUAAUUAAUAUCAUUUACCUAUUUCUGUGGUGUAAAUACUGCCGCCAUGGCUGAUUUCAAGCUAUCAAAGUGAUAUCACCGACCAUGGAGUUGGGAAUGGACAAGCACAAUUGGCUUUCAUGAGCCUGUACAAAUUGGCUUCAGCAUGUCACUACUCUCAGACCUUGUCCUUGAGAGCUCUGUCAGCUUCCAUUUUUGCUUCCUUGAAAUCCACCCAACAUGAAGGAUCUUCAAGAUAGGCUCAUGAAUGAUGAGAGGCCAAAUGGAAAGAAAGGACAAGUAGAAAAGGAAGGAAGCCUUAGGCAUUCUUGCCUCAAAUUGGCUCCCAGCUAAGUACAGCUGUAUUAGGGACUCUGGCCAACAUUACAUGAAGCAGAAGACAACCUCACCAAUCCAGAGAAAUAUGAGAAAUAAUAAACUGUGCAUUGAA